AGUGAACGCUGGCGGUAGGCCUAACACAUGCAAGUCGAACGGCAGCACAGUAAGAGCUUGCUCUUACGGGUGGCGAGUGGCGGACGGGUGAGGAAUACAUCGGAAUCUACUUUUUCGUGGGGGAUAACGUAGGGAAACUUACGCUAAUACCGCAUACGACCUACGGGUGAAAGCAGGGGAUCUUCGGACCUUGCGCGAUUGAAUGAGCCGAUGUCGGAUUAGCUAGUUGUCGGGGUAAAGGCCCACCAAGGCGACGAUCCGUAGCUGGUCUGAGAGGAUGAUCAGCCACACUGGAACUGAGACACGGUCCAGACUCCUACGGGAGGCAGCAGUGGGGAAUUUUGGACAAUGGGCGCAAGCCUGAUCCAGCCAUACCGCGUGGGUGAAGAAGGCCUUCGGGUUGUAAAGUCCUUUUGUUGGGAAAGAAAAGCAGCAGGUUAAUAACCCGCUGUUCUGACGGUACCCAAAGAAUAAGCACCGGCUAACUUCGUG
rnacentral:rRNA from 1 species